UACGAAGGGGGCUAGCGUUGCUCGGAAUCACUGGGCGUAAAGCGCACGUAGGCGGAUUGUUAAGUCAGGGGUGAAAUCCUGGAGCUCAACUCCAGAACUGCCUUUGAUACUGGCGAUCUUGAGUCCGGGAGAGGUGAGUGGAACUGCGAGUGUAGAGGUGAAAUUCGUAGAUAUUCGCAAGAACACCAGUGGCGAAGGCGGCUCACUGGCCCGGUACUGACGCUGAGGUGCGAAAGCGUGGGGAGCAAACAGGAU
rnacentral:rRNA from 1 species